rnacentral:rRNA from 1 species
UACAGAGGUGGCAAGCGUUGUUCGGAAUUACUGGGCGUAAAGGGCGCGUAGGCGGCCAUCUAAGUCAGACGUGAAAUCCCCCGGCUUAACCUGGGAACUGCGUCUGAUACUGGACGGCUUGAGUAUGGGAGAGGGAUGUAGAAUUCCAGGUGUAGCGGUGAAAUACGUAGAUAUCUGGAGGAAUACCGGUGGCGAAGGCGGCAUCCCGGACCAAUACUGACGCUGAGGCGCGAAAGCUAGGGGAGCAAACGGG